CCUCCGUUCUUCUGCCGUUUUUACUAUUUUUCCCUUUUCUCCAUCCUUACCCAGCAACGCCGCGUGAAGGAAGAAGGCUUUCGGGUUGUAAACUUCUUUUCUCAGGGACGAAGAAAGUGACGGUACCUGAGGAAUAAGCCACGGCUAACUACGUGCCAGCAGCCGCGGUAAUACGUAGGUGGCAAGCGUUAUCCGGAUUUACUGGGUGUAAAGGGCGUGUAGGCGGGACUGCAAGUCAGAUGUGAAAACCACGGGCUCAACCUGUGGCCUGCAUUUGAAACUGUAGUUCUUGAGUACUGGAGAGGCAGACGGAAUUCCUAGUGUAGCGGUGAAAUGCGUAGAUAUUAGGAGGAACACCAGUGGCGAAGGCGGUCUGCUGGACAGCAACUGACGCUGAGGCGCGAAAGCGUGGGGAGCAAACAGGAUUAGAUACCCUUGUAGUC
rnacentral:rRNA from 1 species